rnacentral:lncRNA from 1 species
AUAGACCUUUGCCCCUAGGAUGUAAAGCACACAUUUGAGAAUAAAUUUGAGAGAAUUCUUGAGAGCUUCGGCUUUUCUUUCUUUUAACAUUUUUGCUAAAAUUAGUUUCUUCAAGUUCUUUAGGAAGCAGGAGUUUUCAAAAGUCUUGUUGAGUCAAGGAGCGGGGAUUAACUUAUCGGUAAGUCCGUGGUGUUUUUCCU